AGUAUCGUUCUUGAAACCGAUGCAAAUGUUAUUGCCGGAAAGGUUGCUAGUCAUAGCAUGGACGACGAAGCACCAUUGUCGGAGCAGACGUUAACUCAAGCGUUGGCUACUGCACGCGAACGUCUUGCACGAUCUCUCCUCACAUAAACGCGCACGCCAUGGGGAAGAGAGCCGGAGGAUUUAUCUUUUUGUAACGAUGCUAUACCUGAUGUGCUUGGGAUAUAUAUUUUUUGUACCAAUUUUUGGGUGCAAUAUAAAUGAGGAUGCUUAGGAUGGUAUUGGUGUUUUUUGCUUGUGAUGCUAUUUUUGGAGCCUAUGCUGGUAACAGAGUAAACCGCUGGGUUAGCAUACUUUUUAAUUAUAGUUGUAAUAUUGGUUUGUUGAUUAAGUCUUGAUUUAUCCAUUUUAUGUUCUUAGAUUCAAUUCGUAGUGUGUGUAUCUCAAGUAAUAUAUUUUUCUUUUAUUUUUAA